UACGGGGGGAGCAAGCGUUGUUCGGAUUUACUGGGCGUAAAGGGCGCGUAGGCGGUCGUGACAAGUCACUUGUGAAAUCUCCGGGCUUAACUCGGAAAGGUCAAGUGAUACUGUCGGACUAGAGUACAGAAGGGGCAACUGGAAUUCUCGGUGUAGCGGUGAAAUGCGUAGAUAUCGAGAGGAACACCUGCGGCGAAGGCGGGUUGCUGGGCUGAUACUGACGCUGAGGCGCGAAGCUAGGGGAGCGAACGGG
rnacentral:rRNA from 1 species